rnacentral:rRNA from 1 species
UACGUAGGGCGCAAGCGUUGUCCGGAAUUACUGGGCGUAAAGGGCGCGUAGGCGGGAUGGCAAGUCGGUCGUGAAAUCCCUCGGCUCAACCGAGGAACGUCGAUCGAUACUGCUGUUCUUGAGGAUUGCAGAGGAGACUGGAAUUCCCGGUGUAGCGGUGAAAUGUGUAGAGAUCGGGAGGAACACCGGUGGCGAAGGCGGGUCUCUGGGCAAUUCCUGACGCUGAGGCGCGAAAGCGUGGGGAGCAAACGGG